UAGGGAAUCUUCCGCAAUGGGCGAAAGCCUGACGGAGCAACGCCGCGUGAGUGAUGAAGGUCUUCGGAUCGUAAAACUCUGUUAUUAGGGAAGAACAAAUGUGUAAGUAACUAUGCACGUCUUUACGGUACCUAAUCAGAAAGCCACGGCUAACUACGUUCCAGCAGCCGCGGUAAUACGUAGGUGGCAAGCGUUAUCCGGAAUUAUUGGGCGUAAAGCGCGCGUAGGCGGUUUUUUAAGUCUGGUGUGAAAGCCCACGGCUCAACCGUGGAGGGUCAUUGGAAACUGGAAAACUUGAGUGCAGAAGAGGAAAGUGGAAUUCCAUGUGUAGCGGUGAAAUGCGCAGAGAUAUGGAGGAACACCAGUGGCGAAGGCGACUUACUGGUCUGUAACUGACGCUGAUGUGCGAAAGCGUGGGGAUCAAACAGG
rnacentral:rRNA from 1 species